CAAGUCGAACGUUUGACUUCGGUCAGGCGUGGCGGACGGGUGAGUAACACGUGGGAACCUGCCCAGAGGUACGGGAUAACCCAGGGAAACUUGGGACAAUACCGUAUGUGACCUGAGGGUGAAAGAUUUAUCGCCUUUGGAUGGGCCCGCGUCGGAUUAGGUAGUUGGUGGGGUAAAGGCCUACCAAGCCGACGAUCCUAGCUGGUCUGAGAGGAUGAUCAGCCACACUGGGACUGAGACACGGCCCAGACUCCUACGGGAGGCAGCAGUGGGGAAUAUUGGACAAUGGGCGCAAGCCUGAUCCAGCAAUGCCGCGUGAGUGAUGAAGGCCUUAGGGUUGUAAAGCUCUUUCGCACGCGACGAUGAUGACGGUAGCGUGAGAAGAAGCCCCGGCUAACUUCGUGCCAGCAGCCGCGG
rnacentral:rRNA from 1 species